AGAGCUGCUUCAUCUCCCUCUGCUGUGGAGAAGCUUCAGUGACACCUACUGGUGCACCGACGGGUCUGACCUAGUGAUUACAAUGUUUUUGUCAACGUUUCAGGAGGUGUGUGUGUGUGGGACUGAAUGUGAGAGUGCGUGACAAAUAAGAAUCUGCAUAGGAUGAAGUGUGAUUUAUGCAGAUGUGGACGCUUCUCCAGCAUGAUGCAGGGAGUCACCAUUAACAUCACAAAUGUGAUGUCAUGCCUCCACCUAGUGUUCAGCAGAGUUUUCUGGCUUCAAUUUGAAAUCCAACCAAAAACAUGAGCGCAACUGAAAUAUUUACUGUAUUUUACCAUUUUAUCUAAUAUUUAUUCCACAUGAACAAAAGCUCCAUGUUUAACCAGAAUUUGGAUUAUACAAUUAAUUGAUUGUGAUGAUGUAUAUUUAAUUAAAGUUAAGGUAAAAGCCGUUAAAUCAGUUUAAGAAGAAGAAAAAUAAUUUUAUUUGAUCGAAUUAUGUUGUUGACAGCUUAGAACAGCUGUGGGCUAACUUUAAGACUAAAAGCUGAAAAUCUGACAUGAAUGCCGAAUCAGGAGCAGAUUUGUGGCAUGUUUUGGUAAUCCACAAAAAAAUAAUAUGGAAUCUGGACAAAAACAUACUUUAGUUCUUAUUAAAAUUUCAAAUUUAAAGUUUAAAACUGUUAAAAAACUGUGGCUUUUGUUCUUAGUGCCAAUAUCACCAAUUUAUGUGGUGUUGCAACAAUAGAAAAACUACUGUCUGACCCAGAAAAUACACAUGAACGUCAGAAAAACAACAAAUCUUUCAACGCUACAUGAAUUCAAAAUAACUUCCUGCACCUAAACAAACAUCAAUUAAUUUGUUGAAUGUGAUUUAUGGAGAGACAUCAGAAUUACAGGGCAAAAUAAUACAUUAUUAAUUAGAUUUUUGAUUUGAAAAAUUUCCAGCAAUCAAAAAAUUGCUUAAAAAGAAGUAAGAGGAAGCGAACUUAUAUAAUCCCCCCGGCUCGACUAUAACAUUUCCUUUACAUGAAUUAUUUUUUAAGGAUUAUCAAUAUGAUUUAUUCCUGUUUGGUGGGCCAGAUUACAUAGUUUAACGGCCUGCAUAUGGCCAGUUUUCCCAUCCCUGGCGUAGAUCGAUGGUCUGUAGCCAUAAAUACUUGGAGCCAUUCGGGCGGAUUUCUCGCCGACUCAGGAAGAGCCACAAAGUCUUACUUAACUUUUUAGAAAAACAAAAAACUGAUUUGUAUUUAUCACAUAGUGACUGUUAUGAUGCCACAAAAAGGAAUUGACUUUUUUCAAAAUAUGUAAUGAUUUAUGGCCACAUGACUUUCUUUCAAAGCAAAAGUCAGCAGAAAUAAAGAAAAAUAUAGUUAAUUUCAUCAUUUUGUGGUUAAUCUCAGGCAUAAAUUCACAAAUCUAAUCAACUAAUCAGAGCUUAACUAAGUGAGCCUUACUGUAUUUUUUGAUCCAACAGAAAAAAUUACAAUCCAUGAAAUUGCACCUUUUGCUUAUUGACCUCAAUUGAUUUUCUGUUGUCUUUUGGUUUGGAUGGAUGAAGGAUUGAUGGAGAACAUAGUCAGAAACCUCAGCGGAGGGAUACACAUUUUCUUGCAACUGUUUGCGAAUGAGUUGAAUAAAGUUGGAGUUUUUUUUUACUUUACAGUUACUUUUUAAACCUAAAACCUUUUUUUCUUUUACCAGAGAGACACAAUGGACAGGUAUGGAUGGACAGAUAACAUGAAAUGAAAGAUCUAAGAAACAGAAUCCAAGUUUAUUUCACGGUUAGCCUUCAAAACUUUUCAACAGCGUCUAAAUAACCUACACCUUCAGGGUUUUUUACUUUUUCCAGGAUUUUCCUUCUCCUCACCCACUGCUGAGUACCUGGAUCAACGUUGUCCAGCCAAUCAGGAACUGAAAUGGUCUGUUCCUCAAAAUCUGCUCCAUUCCUGUGGAGGAUCAGGAUCUGUAAACAAGAGGCACACGUGUUUUCAGCUUUACCAAACUCCACACAAAGGUCACAUGUUCCACUUCAGAAACUACACCAUUUGAAAAGGAUUUGUCACUCCAACAAUUGGAGGAAUCAGAGAAAAAAUGGAGAGGAUCAGUGUUAGUAAAAGGAUGCUGCUGUAAGAGGCCUGGAGGAGGACCAAAGAGGAGGUUCAUGGAUGCAGUGAAGUAGGACAUGAGGUGGAUCCACAGGAUGGAGGCGGGAUGCGUCAGGAGGAAGCGACCUCGAUCAAUUCUGGAAGAAAGUCAAGAGGUCGAGCAGAGCCGCGCGCACGUGUGGGUUGAAGCUACAUCUGGAUGUGUGUUUACUUGUCUGGCUGCAGUACAAACACCGGCCGCUAGGGCGCGCGCUGCAACUUCCGCAGACUUGCAGCAGGAUCUGCAUCAGCCGGAAAAAAAGCUAACGAGCGGAAGCCGCAACAACAGGAAACGAAAUGGCGAGACUUCAAAAUAAAACGCCAAUUUCUGAAUGUAUAGAUUUUAAAACACAGAGUGGAAUUAUUUGAUGCCACGCAAACACAAAUAAAUGUUUAAGAUUAAUUUUCGGUGUCAAGAUAAAAUUAUAACAGUUAGUAAAAAACGGAAGUCAUAAACAAGUAAAUAUUAUAUUCGAUUCUGGUUUAGAAUAUGUUAAAUAAUAUAAACGUAGCUAUUUAUUGUAAUUUAAUUGGAGUGUAUAUUAUGUGCUUAACAUGGAACUACAAUAAAUUAU